rnacentral:rRNA from 1 species
AUGGUAAUUCCAGUACUUUUAGACCAUAAUUUUCAUAAUCAGAUCAAUAACAGCAAUUUUAAUAGAAAUCAUUCAUAUACAGCAACUCUAUCAAACUUGUUGCGCCAUGGCAUUACAUAUAUAUGUAUACAUAUAUCAUUUUGUACAAUACUUUUCCAUAUACACUUUGCAAACUUGUUGCCAUGGCAAAAAAAUUCCGACACAAGUCAAAUUGUUUUUGUUGACACGUAUGUACUAUACGGCAACCGUAUUGUUUUUAAUUUUUAUAAACACAUGUUCUUGGUGCUGUUUCUUGGCUUGUUUUAG